CAUAGAUUUUGUAUUUCCUAUAGCGAGUAAGCUUCUGUCAAAUAAUAUCACUCACUUCCCUGUUUUUAAUCACAAUACCAAACUUUACUUUCACACCAUGGACUGUGUAGCGUUCAAUUUCAUUGCAGCACAAAAUACUUCGUAUAGUAAUUUGGGUUGCCUACUGAUUUCGAGUUCGACGAAUUUAAAUUAUCUCGGGGAAUGUUUAUCGGUUUUUUUUUUCCAUAUGUGCCAGAUACGGUAAUUUCCUUCAAGAAAGAAUUUACUUUCGUACUUCGAAAUUGGGAAAGUAGAUAUUUCGAUUUAUUCUGUGGAAAUCCAAGAGUUUUGGGAUAAAAAUAUUUUCCUGAUUUCUUUCAAUAUUGUAUUGCGAGUUGGUUAUUUGAUGAAGCAAUAUAAUAACCAAAUUUGGGGAUCAUUGGAGUGUAUUGAAAGAGUAUCUUUCUCCAUUAGGCCACACAACAUCAAAGGCCUUUUUUUCCCGACUUUUUCUUCUUGAGUUUACGUUUGGAAUAUAACGUAAAAUAUAAGAGUGCUGUCGACAGAGAAUUCAAUUUACCUAAGAUCCAAGAACAUCAAGGAUACUGAACGAGCGCUGCAGAUUUUUGGUUUAUGUUCAAUUUUUGUCUUCACGAGUUUGGACUCACAGGAUUGAGAAUUGGUGACGUAGUUUUAAUAAUAGUUUCAAUCCUGCUGUUCAUCAAACUGAUUGAAUAUAGGAUUCCUAGAAUAACUAGGCACUUAUAUUGACCAUACUCUGCCCAUAGGUUUCAACACUCGAAACGUCGUAAAACUUUUUUUUAUGACAUGUUUGGGAGUUUAUCGCCAUUUCGAAUAUUCUGAAGAUAUUGAAGUUUUCCUGAAGAAAUUUGUCCAGAAGAAUUAUUCAGAUGAGUGUGACCCACUGGUUUCACCAUUUCACCGGUGAAAAUCACCGCAACUCAUAAAGCAAGGUAUGGUAUUCUGCCUAAUUCAAUAUAAAAAACUUGUGAGUAUCUGAGUGGCAUAUAAAUUUGGAUUCAUUAUUAUUUCAAUAGGUAUUUGGACAAACAUACAUAUUUUCAAUGUAAACACCAAUAAGGUACAUACAUGUAGAAACUUAUUUUUAUUACUCUUGAUUAACUUUUGACGUUGUUGUUGCUGUUCUAUUGUUGUUCCUAUUGUUUGAAUAAUGAGAAACUGAUAGAAAAUGGGAAGGCUAGGGAGUUGUCAAUUUAGACGGAAAUUGAAAAAAUACUUUAGUAUUCAGUUCUUCAAAAAUUUGUUGAAAAGUGUUGAAAAAUAACAUCAGUCGAGACGCGACCGUUAUUUAGAAGAAGUAACGACGAAUUUAAUAUCGAAGACGUAAGGUUGUAUCAAAAUUGUGUGUUGCCGAUUAAAGAGUGAAACCAGUAAGAAUAAUAUAAUUAACCCUGUAUACCCUAGACAAUUAUAAAAAACCUAGUUACAUGUUCCAGAAGUUUUCAUAAAACAUUUCUACAAUAUCAGAAUCAUAGCAUUGGUAAUUUGAACUCGUAAAAUAGAAUCUUUUGGUAGCUUUCUAUAAAAUUCAGUCUUUUUAUCGUUCCACUGCAAAAGCAGCGGAUAAGAGAGCAGUGAGUAAUCAGUAAUUGAAAGAGGUACUGAUAUUUUUCGUACUUGAUUAUUGGAUAUCAAUAAAAAAAAUCUACCCAAACUACUUACACAAAUAUAACACUUAACUAAGAACUAUAUUCAAAAUAAGAUCGUGUAUAAAAGCAUGUUAGGAUUAAUUACUAUAUCAUUUCUUAUAUAUUUUUUCUAAAUCAUUAUAUUCGCCCAACUGCCCAUCAUUUCUCCUACAGUAGGAAGUAUAUUGAAUUAUACCUGCGCUAUCCACCGGACUCAAAAAAUUGGCUAUCCCUCUCAGAAUAUAAGUUUGGCUUCCAAUUUCUAAGUCAAGUGACACUUGUAGUUGGGGAGCCGAAGAGGGAAAUUCGGGAUAUACUCGAGCGUGUCAGAUUAAUAUAAGGGGACAUACCUUGGAACCUGUAGAGUACCUCUACGAAAAAUUAGACCUGUAUAUAGGG